UACGUAGGGGGCAAGCGUUGUCCGGAUUCAUUGGGCGUAAAGAGCGUGUAGGCGGCCAGGUAGGUCGGUUGUGAAAACUGGAGGCUCAACCUUCAGAGGUCGACCGAAACCAUCUGGCUAGAGUCCGGGAGAGGAGAGUGGAAUUCCUGGUGUAGCGGUGAAAUGCGUUGAUAUCAGGGGGAACACCCAUGGCGAAGGCAGCAAACUGGUCAUCAACUGACGCUGAGGCGCGAAAGCGGGGGUAGCAAACAGG
rnacentral:rRNA from 1 species